rnacentral:rRNA from 1 species
UGAGGAAUAUUGGUCAAUGGGCGAGAGCCUGAACCAGCCAAGUCGCGUGAAGGAAGACAGUCCUAAGGAUUGUAAACUUCUUUUAUACGGGAAUAACGGGCGAUACGAGUAUUGCAUUGAAUGUACCGUAAGAAUAAGCAUCGGCUAACUCCGUGCCAGCAGCCGCGGUAAUACGGAGGAUGCGAGCGUUAUCCGGAUUUAUUGGGUUUAAAGGGUGCGUAGGUUGUUCGGUAAGUCAGCGGUGAAACCUGAGCGCUCAACGUUCAGCCUGCCGUUGAAACUGCCGGGCUUGAGUUCAGUGGCGGCAGGCGGAAUUCGUGGUGUAGCGGUGAAAUGCAUAGAUAUCAUGACGAACUCCGAUUGCGCAGGCAGCUUACUGUAGCAUAACUGACGCUGAUGCUCGAAAGUGCGGGUAUCAAACAGG